ACAGUAGCUGCCGGUUGUCUGUUACUGAUAAGGCUUUAAGUUGCACUUGAUUGCAGCUUUUGAACUUUCUAUACAGGUCUGGCUGAGCAGGAUUCACUUGGGGGACUAAAAGUUGUCUGAAGAAAAAUCCUGCAUGACAAGACAGCAGACUUACAGCCUGUUGUGAUCCCCAGCUUACUUAUGUGCUCAAUGCAGCUCCUACACUUCAUGCUAUAAAAUGCAAGAAAAAAAUGUGAUGACAGACUAAAGAGACGUUGAAAAGCAUUAACUGGAGUGGAAAACAACUUGUCUGGGAGUAAAAUCAGGCUCAAUCAGGUACUGGAUUUAAAGAGCAAUAGUUUGGGCUGCAGUGAUAUCCCAUCACAGAUUAGAAAGAUUAGACAGGAAAAAUCUAUUAUGCCAAAAGGAAAAAGUAAGACUUAAAAUACAUGACAGAGUAAAACUGAAAGCCAGGAAAGCAAAUCGACCAAACUGCAGGCCCAACAGGACAGAUGGUACCAGAAAGUAGGUGCUCUCCCAACUUAGGCUGUAGAAUAAUUACAGGAAACAGCAAACUAUGUGUAGCAUUUCUCCCUCUGUAUUUGACUGUCUGAAAACUUCAGCAUGUUUAGAACUGUAUGGUGAGAGGUGCCCAUCCCGAGACUGUUUUCUGAUGCCUGGACACAUCACUGAAGAUUCCUGUCUCUAAAGGACACUGUAGUGGUUUCUGUGUGGUCAAGUUUGCAAAAUACUUUUGGGAUAGUAUUGACUAAAACUAACUUGUUUUCUGUGUAUUUGUGUUUAACAAAAAGUACCAGGCAUUAAAAAAAAAAACCACACAGUUGAAGACAGUGUUUCUAAUUAAGGCAGUGCUCCUUAAUUAUGAU